rnacentral:rRNA from 1 species
GACGAACGCUGGCGGCGUGCUUAACACAUGCAAGUCGAGCGGUAAGGCCCUUUCGGGGUACACGAGCGGCGAACGGGUGAGUAACACGUGGGUGACCUGCCCUCAGCUCUGGGAUAAGCCCGGGAAACUGGGUCUAAUACCGGAUAUGACUUCAUGACGCAUGUUGUGGAGUGGAAAGCCUUGUGCGGCUGAGGAUGGGCCCGCGGCCUAUCAGCUUGUUGGUGGGGUGAGGCCUACCAAGGCGACGACGGGUAGCCGGCCUGAGAGGGCGACCGGCCACACUGGGACUGAGAUACGGCCCAGACUCCUACGGGAGGCAGCAGUGGGGAAUCUUGCGCAAUGGGCGAAAGCCUGACGCAGCGACGCCGCGUGAGGGAUGACGG